GAUGAACGCUGGCGGCGUGCCUAAUACAUGCAAGUCGAGCGAACGGACGAGAAGCUCGUUCUCCUGAUGUUAGCGGCGGACGGGCGGGUAACACGUGGAUAACCUACCACUAAGACUGGGAUAACUUCGGGAAGCAGUAGCUAAUACCGGAUAAUACUUUGUACCGCUUGGAUCAAAAGUGAUACAGGCUUUUCCCGUCACUAUUAGAUGGUUCCGCGCUGCAUUAGCUAGUUGGUAAGGUAACGGCUUACCAAGGCAACGAUGCAUAGCCGACCUGAGAGGAUGAUCAGCCACACUGGAACUGAGACACGGUCCAGACUCCUACGGGAGGCAGCAGUGGGGAAUCUUCGACAAUGGGCGAAAGCCUGAUCCAGCAACACCGCGUGAGUGAUGAAGGUCUUCGGGUCGUAAAGCUCUGUUGUUGGGAAAGAACAGAUGUGUAUUAAUAUGUGCACGUCUUGACGGUACCUAAUCAGUAAGCAACGGCUAACUUCGUG
rnacentral:rRNA from 1 species